ACUUCCUAAAACUGGGACACAAUAGUGCAAAAAGAAACAGUCUGCGCAUGCGCGUUUAGUGUCCACUAGGGGCAGUAUGAUGCGCUGGCAAACUACUAAGAAUCCCUUGGAUGCUUUGACGUUAGCCUUUAGCAUUCAUCUUGCGGACACCAAUCCACACUCUCAUCGAAUCGUCCGUCUUCCCGACGACUCGUCCUCACUCGGAAUCAAAGUGUGCCGCUGACUCCAGACAGCAGAUCUCCUUUCUCUUGGACUGGACGGAACGCGGCUGAGUGGGUGGCUGAGUGGCUGGCUGGCUGCCUGGCUGCCUGGCUGCCUGGCUGCCAGGCUGGCUGGCUGGCUGGCUGGCUGCCUGGCUGGCUUCCUGGUCCGCCGGCCUGCCUGGUCCGCCGGCCGGCCGGCCGGCCGGCCGGCCGGCCAGCAAGCUUCUGGAAACACUGAGGCACGCUGACGAUGUUUAUGUUACGCCGUCCCCGGAGAGAGGGGAAGCCUUGUGGUUCGGACGGAUUACGGGGAGGUUGGGGGGGGGGGGGCUUGCGGGGCUGCUUUCAACUUGGGUGUUAAUGGCGGGAGCAAAGUGGCCGCGUAGGUGCCAUAUGUGCUCGCUUUGCCGGGAGCUGGCACGCUUCCCCGCCUUGGCCAAAACCAGAGCAAAAAAUACAGCCUUAUAGUAUUGUAUUGAACCAACGGACAGACGCAGACGCAAGUGGACAUUUUGGCACUGGACAUAUGCGGCCCAUGUGCGGAUGUCAUUUCCCCUCCCGGGUCUAAUAAGGCAUACGUGAUGCGUCUUCCUCUUCUGGGCCCGAGCGCAAAUCAUUUGGAUGGAAAAGGCAGCCACGGCGGCCAACGGCGAACAACGCCGGCAGCCUCGGACGCCGCCGGAUGAAUUUCCCACAUGACGUGGAGUGAGCGAGCGAGCGCGCUGCUCGCGAGUCGGCGGAUGAGCAUAAAAGACGUCAGGGGAUUUAUUGGACUAACUCUGCGGCCGAUGACAAAUGGGAGUCCCGGCGCCAAUGACUCUCGCUAUAAAUCAACUUAUUGUUCUGGUGCGUGUGGGCGAGCGAGCGUGCCUGAGGCCAUCCGCUGGACGUUUGUAAGGACUUCCUUCCUGGCCAACACCUGAUGACUGACUCCAAUAAAAAGAAUCCGUGUGUUGGCUUUCCUCAGCCGACCGAAGGCCCGCCCGCCCGCCCGCCCGACGCACGCACACAAAGCGUUUUCUCUGGCGUACCUGCGCGAUACUUUUCUAAUAGCCAGCGCCGCCCGCCGUUUGUACGUAAGCCGAUAUGACGGCUAGCGACCGUGUCCAGAAAGAAAUACACGCGGCGCUUCAAGAAAUUGCACCUUUUCACUCCAAAGGUAAUAAAGUUUGACUUGUUUCAAUAAAAGGCGCGGCCAACGUA